GUACACGCUGUGACUAGCAUAUCAAUAAGCGGAGGAAAAGAAACUAACAAGGAUUCCCUUAGUAACGGCGAGUGAAGCGGGAAGAGCUCAAAUUUGAAAUCUUCAAGGUUUUACCUUGACGAAUUGUAGUUUAAAGAAGUGUUUUCUGUUACGAUCGUAAUAUAAGUUCUUUGGAAUAGGACAUCACAGAGGGUGAGAAUCCCGUCUAUGAUUGCGAUUUGUAGCUUUGUGAUACACUUUCAAAGAGUCGGGUUGUUUGGGAAUGCAGCCCAAAACGGGAGGUAAAUUUCUUCUAAGGCUAAAUAUUGGCGAGAGACCGAUAGCGAACAAGUACCGUGAGGGAAAGAUGAAAAGAACUUUGAAAAGAGAGUUAAAUAGUACGUGAAAUUGUCAAAAGGGAAGCGUUUAACACCAGUGUUGUUUUCUGAAAAUCAACCUCUGUUAGCUUUAUGCAUGUUUGUUUAGACCUAAUCAGCUAUCUUGCAUGUUCUAUUGUUUGCAGUGGUGCACUUUUCAGUUUACAGGUCAACAUCAGUUUUUUUUACCGUAAAAAAGUUAAAGAAAGGUAGCUCAUGGCUCCGGUCGUGAGUGUUAUAGUCUUUUUCCUAUGCGGUAGGAGAGACUGAGGUCUGCAGUGUAGGCUAUUUGGCUAGAUACUCAGGUGCUAUGUGAUACCAUUUCAUAAACAACUUGUUGAUUAUGUUUUGUCUAUUGCAUACUCGCUUGUACUAUCAUACCUACGCUUAGGAUGUUGAACUACUGAGACAUAGA
rnacentral:rRNA from 1 species